ACAUAUGAAUCUAAGAGCACAAAGAGAACACCAAGAAGCCCUAUAGAAUAACAUAAACAAAACGGCAUCAGACAUGUAUCAGAUCAAAUAUAGCAAAAAGGACAGCAAAUGAAUAAUGGCAUCAUAGAGCAUCGAAUGAAUGAACGCUCGAGCUUGUUAGAUGUCUCCUCAUCGACUUCACACCCAAACCCGAAAUAGCUAGUUUCAAAAUCAUAGUGACACACUCACACAAUGAAUUUUAUAAGUGAAAUUCUAUUACUGAUUUUUCCAGCAUCCCCCUUCCAUACCACCUCUUUGAAAAUGUUAGAUCUAAGAUAUGGUCGUGAGAAUGAUAUAACAGAUUAAUCUAUUGUCACAGCGUUGAUAUACCUUGUACUCGUUCUUGGGGGUUUCGUAACCUGAGAAGAGCAUCUGAGCUACAAGCACCUGGUUGGCGAUGUCCCCUUUCCGAGCCUCCUUUUACGCGUCCUGGAACCAGCGCACAGUCGCCGACCACCUCUGACGGCGGCUUCCACUCACACUUCGACCAGUAGGAUCCAUUAGACAUAGCAUAGUACUCGGUGCACCUGGGUUCCAGAGCUCAACGGUGCCGACGAAUCUGUCCCUGUGAAGAUACAUGGCCAUCUAUCUGCAUGUUCACAUUGUAUAUUGGGGUUAAAAUCAACCAAGCAGCAACAUAAAUGCUCAAGAGAUAGAAAAUAGAUGCUCAAACAUCUGUUGAAAAACUACAUAUGCUCAAACAUCCCGAACAGUGGGCGGCCCUUUGAUGUCACAAAAUCAAGCCCUCUGGCACAGAGCUGAAGCAACAGUUCUUUACCAACAUGAUCACAUCACAACUUGAAAGAGGGAAGGCGCCCAAUUACAGGAUCUAUCAUCUGAAGCGGUCACAAUAGAACAACUUCUUAAAUCAAUUCCAAAGCUGCAAUUGUUCCCUUAGAUGAAACACAACUGAAAAGGUACAACGAGUAACAAGUUUAGUAGUUAC
rnacentral:lncRNA from 1 species